AGAGUUUGAUUCUGGCUCAGGAUGAACGCUAGCGACAGGCUUAACACAUGCAAGUCGAGGGGCAGCGGAGACGAGAGGCAACUCUCGUCUGCCGGCGACCGGCGCACGGGUGAGUAACACGUAUGCAACCUGCCCCCGGCAGGGGGAUAACCCGGAGAAAUCCGGACUAAUAUCCCAUGACGCCCCGAGAGGACAUCCUCUUGGGGCCAAAGGAGGCGACUCCGGCCGGGGCUGGGCAUGCGGCGCAUUAGCCAGUUGGCGGGGCAACGGCCCACCAAGGCUACGAUGCGUAGGGGUUCUGAGAGGAAGGUCCCCCACAUUGGAACUGAGACACGGUCCAAACUCCUACGGGAGGCAGCAGUGAGGAAUAUUGGUCAAUGGCCGCAAGGCUGAACCAGCCAAGUCGCGUGAGGGAGGAAGGCCCUACGGGUCGUAAACCUCUUUUGCCGGGGAGCAAGCUCUGGUACGCGUACCAGAGCGGAGAGUACCCGGAGAAAAAGCAUCGGCUAACUCCGUGCCAGCAGCCGCGGUAAUACGGAGGAUGCGAGCGUUAUCCGGAUUUAUUGGGUUUAAAGGGUGCGUAGGCGGCCUGGAAAGCCAGCGGUCAAAACGGGGUGCUCAACGCCCUGCCGCCGUUGGAACUUUCAGGCUAGAGUGAGCGAGAAGUAAGCGGAAUGCGUGGUGUAGCGGUGAAAUGCAUAGAUAUCACGCAGAACGCCGAUUGCGAAGGCAGCUUACCGGCGCUCAACUGACGCUGAGGCACGAAAGCGCGGGUAUCGAACAGGAUUAGAUACCCUGGUAGUCCGCGCAGUAAACGAUGAA
rnacentral:rRNA from 1 species